UACAGAGGUCUCAAGCGUUGUUCGGAUUCAUUGGGCGUAAAGGGUGCGUAGGCGGCGCGGUAAGUCGGGUGUGAAAUUUCGGAGCUUAACUCCGAAACUGCAUUCGAUACUGCCGUGCUUGAGGACUGGAGAGGAGACCGGAAUUUACGGUGUAGCAGUGAAAUGCGUAGAGAUCGUAAGGAAGACCAGUGGCGAAGGCGGGUCUCUGGACAGUUCCUGACACUGAGGCACGAAGGCCAGGGGAGCAAACGGG
rnacentral:rRNA from 1 species